CCUACGGGAGGCAGCAGUGGGGAAUAUUGGGCAAUGGGCGCAAGCCUGACCCAGCAACGCCGCGUGAAGGAAGAAGGCUUUCGGGUUGUAAACUUCUUUUCUCAGGGACGAAGCAAGUGACGGUACCUGAGGAAUAAGCCACGGCUAACUACGUGCCAGCAGCCGCGGUAAUACGUAGGUGGCACGCGUUAUCCGGAUUUACUGGGUGUAAAGGUCGUGUAGGCGGGACUGCAAGUCAGAUGUGAAAGCCACGGGCUCAACCUGUGGCCUGCAUUUGAAACUGUAGUUCUUGAGUACUGGAGAGGCAGGUGGAAUUCCAAGUGUAGCGGUGAAAUGCGUAGAUAUUAGGAGGAAGACCAGUGGCGAAGGCGGUCUGCUGGACAGCAACUGACGCUGAGGCGCGAAAGCGUGGGGAGCAAACAGGAUUAGAUACCCGUGUAGUC
rnacentral:rRNA from 1 species